rnacentral:misc_RNA from 1 species
AAAUAUAAAUAUUUUAUUCUAACCCCUGAUGUUGUAGGCUUUGCGUAGAUACCCUCAUCGUCUUCAAACGCCCCAUACGCGUUCCCAAUGCCAGAAUUGGUGUGAGACAGGUCAACCUUUCUCCUUCACCCAACCGUCGCAGUGACCUCCAGUAAAUUUGCUUUACGUAGGUACUUUCGUUUCACAGAUAUUCGACUGUUGCUCGGGUCUGCA